rnacentral:rRNA from 1 species
CCUACGGGAGGCAGCAGUGAGGAAUAUUGGUCAAUGGGCGCGAGCCUGAACCAGCGAAGUAGCGUGAAUGAAGACUGCUCUACGGGCUGAAAACUUUUUCUAUAGGGAAAUAAAAUGUUCCACGAGUGGGAUGUAGUAUGCACCAUAUGAAUAAGGAGCGGAUAAAUACGCGCCAGCAGCCGCGGUAAUACGGAGGGCACGAGCGUUAUCCGGAUUUAGUGGGUUUAAGGGGAGCGUAGGGGGAGUGUUAAGUCUGUUGUGAAAGUGUGCGGCUCAACCGUAAAAUUGCAUGUGAAACUGGCAGGCUUGAGUACAGUAGAGGUGAGUGGAAUUCGUGGUGUAGCGGUGAAAUGCUUAGAUAUUAGGAGGAACUCCGGUUGCGAAGGCAGCUCACUGGACUGCAACUGACACUGAGGCUCGAAAGUGUGGGUAUCAAACAGGAUUAGAUACCCUAGUAGUC